rnacentral:lncRNA from 1 species
GUAUGGAACUCAAGGACAUUAGACCUAAUUUUUCUUUUCCCUCUCCCCUUUUCCAUUUCCUGUCCCCGCUUCACUCUUUUUUUUGAAGGGCAGCCCAGGUCCUCCCGGUGCUCCUGGAAUGCCUGGACCUAUUGGAUGGCCUGGCCCAAUGGGGCCUACGGGUGAAAAGGGAGAUUUAGGUUUGAUGGGAUUGCCAGGUACAAGAGGACCAAUGGGCCAUAAGGUUUGUUCACCCAGAUGCUAUGUUAUUCUUCUCUGGCUUGUAACCACUGCUUACAGCUGCUUCAUUAGCUGAAAUGCGCUUGUAUAUAUCAAUGCAGACAGCGGAGGUGUUUAUUUCAUGAGGGAUAAUAACAGAACAUAUAGGUUUCUCUUUUUCUGUGGAUCUAAUGUACAAACUAAAAAGAAAUGCUAGUAAGUUGUUAUCUACCUUCUUUUUUUAAUUAAACAUCUUACUGCAGUCUAAUAUAAGAUAAUUUAUUUAUUAUUUAUUUAUUUAUUCUAUUUCUAUCCCGCCUAUCUGAUCAUAUUAGACCACUCUAGGCGGCUUACAAUAAAAACAGGAUAGUAAUUUUAAGACA